rnacentral:rRNA from 1 species
GACGACGCUGGCGGCGUGCUUAAAACAUGCAAGUCGAACGGACUUCUCAUGAAGCUUGCGAUUGAGAAGUUAGUGGCGGAUGGGUGAGUAACGCGUGGGCAACCUGCCCCUGAGCCCGGGAUAACAGUCCGAAAGGACUGCUAAGACCGGAUAUACUUGCGGUGAAGCAUUUCACUGCAAGGAAAGGGAACGCUCAGGGAUGGGCCCGCGUCCCAUUAGCUAGUUGGUGAGGUAACGGCCCACCAAGGCGACGAUGGGUAGCCGGCCUGAGAGGGUGAACGGCCACACUGGGACUGAGACACGGCCCAGACUCCUACGGGAGGCAGCAGUUGGGAAUCUUCGGCAAUGGGCGCAAGCCUGACCGAGCAACGCCGCGUGAGUGAUGAAGGUUUUCGGAUUGUAAAGCUCUGUCUUCCGGGACGAUAAUGACGGUACCGGAGGAGGAAGCCACGGCUAACUACGUG